rnacentral:rRNA from 1 species
GACGGAGGAUCCAAGCGUUAUCCGGAUUUACUGGGCGUAAAGAGUUGCGUAGGUGGCAGUUUAAGCAAGUAGUGAAAUCUGGUGGCUCAACCAUCAACCCAUUAUUUGAACUGGACUGCUCGAGAACGAGAGAGGUCACUGGAAUUCCUUGUGUAGGAGUGAAAUCCGUAGAUAUAAGGAGGAACACCAAUGGCGUAGGCAGGUGACUGGCUCGUUUCUGACACUGAGGCACGAAAGCGUGGGGAGCGAACGGG